UCAAGAAGAGAAGGGCGCACGGUGAAUGCCUGGGCACUAGAAGCCGAUGAAGGACGUGACGAACCACGAAAGGCUACGGAGAGCUGUAAGUAAGCUAAGACCCGUAGAUAUCCGAAUGGGGGAACCCGGUGCAGCGAUGCAUCAUUAAAUACUGUUAAGGUAUUUAAAGGAAGACGCAAUGAACUGAAACAUCUAAGUAGCUGCAGGAAGAGAAAGAAAAAUCGAUUUCCUAAGUAGCGGCGAGCGAAAGGGAAAGAGCCCAAACCAUUGAAUUUAUUCAGUGGGGUUGUAGGACUACGAUGUGAGACAGAGAGGUAUAGUUGAAGUCUUUGGGAAAAGACGCCAGAGAGGGUGAGAGCCCCGUAAGCGAAAUAGCUCGAAGCUCUAGUAGUAUCCUGAGUAGGCCGGGACACGAGGAAUCCCGGUUGAAGCAGCGAGGACCAUCUCGCAAGGCUAAAUACUAACUAGUGACCGAUAGUGAACCAGUACCGUGAGGGAAAGGUGAAAAGAACCCCGGAAGGGGAGUGAAAGAGAACCUGAAACCGUGUGCCUACAAGUAGUCAAAGCACAUUAAAGUGUAAUGGCGUGCCUUUUGUAGAAUGAACCGGCGAGUUACGUUAAGUAGCGAGGUUAAGACAGAAAAGUCGGAGCCGAAGCGAAAGCGAGUCUGAAUAGGGCGAGCAGUUACUUGACGUAGACCCGAAACCAAGUGACCUACCCAUGUCCAGGUUGAAGGCUAGGUAAAACUGGCUGGAGGACCGAACCCACGUAAGUUAAAAAUUGCGGGGAUGAGGUGUGGGUAGCGGUGAAAUUCCAAACGAACUUGGAGAUAGCUGGUUCUCUCCGAAAUAGCUUUAGGGCUAGCCUCGCGAGAGAGGAUAAUGGAGGUAGAGCACUGUUUGGACUAGGGGCCCGUCAGGGGUUACUGAAUCCAGAUAAACUCCGAAUUCCAUAUAUCUAUACGCGGGAGUCAGACUGCGAGUGAUAAGAUCCGUAGUCGAAAGGGAAACAGCCCAGAUCACCAGUUAAGGUCCCCAAAUCUAUGCUAAGUGGAAAAGGAUGUGGAGUUGCGUAGACAACUAGGACGUUGGCUUAGAAGCAGCCAUCAUUCAAAGAGUGCGUAAUAGCUCACUAGUCGAGUGGCGCUGCGCCGAAAAUUUACCGGGGCUAAGCAUAGUACCGAAACUGUGGAUGUGCGUAAGCACGUGGUAGGAGAGCGUUCUAAUUGCGGCGAAGCCUAAUCGAGAGGAUAGGUGGAGCGAUUAGAAGUGAGAAUGCCGGUAUGAGUAGCGAAAGAUAGGUGAGAAUCCUAUCCGCCGAAAGACUAAGGUUUCCUGGGGCAGGCUCGUCCGCCCAGGGUAAGUCGGGACCUAAGGUAAGGCCGAGAGGCGUAGCCGAUGGACAACAGGUUGAGAUUCCUGUACUAAUAUUAAUCGUUAAGAGCAAUGGAGGGACGCAGUAGGCUAAUGACGCAUGUAACUGGAAUCAUGUGUAAGCGUCAAGGCUUGAAGUGAGUCAAAUGCUUGCUUCUAAAAGGCUGAGGCGUGAUGCGGAGCGAAAUAAAGUAGCGAAGGUCAUGAUGUCACACUGCCGAGAAAAGCUUCUAGCCAGAGAGAUAUUACCCGUACCGCAAACCGACACAGGUAGUCGAGGAGAGAAUCCUCAGGUGAGCGAGAGAACUCUCGUUAAGGAACUCGGCAAAAUGACCCCGUAACUUCGGGAGAAGGGGUGCUGAUCUCCGGAUCAGCCGCAGUGAAUAGGCCCAAACAACUGUUUAUCAAAAACACAGGUAUCUGCAAAAUCGUAAGAUGACGUAUAGGUGCUGACACCUGCCCGGUGCUGGAAGGUUAAGAGGAGAGCUUAGCGCAAGCGAAGGUUUGAAUUGAAGCCCCAGUAAACGGCGGCCGUAACUAUAACGGUCCUAAGGUAGCGAAAUUCCUUGUCGGGUAAGUUCCGACCUGCACGAAAGGUGUAAUGA
rnacentral:rRNA from 1 species